rnacentral:snoRNA from 1 species
AUGGAUGUGAGGAUCCUUUCCCCAGCUGAUCGACUAUGAUUAUACUAUGCGCACAUGUAAUCCUU